ensembl:lncRNA
GAAAAUGUAAGUUUGAAGCAGCUUUGAGAGAGGUGCUGGGGCCUUCAUCCUCUUAAAAACUCAGGCACGCCUUCUCCAGCAACUGAACUUUAACUCAUCCCAGCAUGGGUUCAAGCAUUAAAAGCCAUUUCAGCUUUUCAUUUGGAUAAGGAACUUGAUGGAAUGUAUCUGGAGUUUGCUUGGGCCAUGCUGCCUGGACUACGAAGGCAUGGGGCUGCCUCACCUCUGCUUCAGGGAGAGAAUGGGGUCACUGGGAUGCAAUCACAGCCUAUAAAUCCUGCAAAAGUGCUUUUCUCCCUUGGCAUACGAAGGGCCGACCCUGCAGAAACUCUGGAGACUGGAAGUGAGGAGGAAUGGGCGCCACAGCGAGACUGGCGUGAGAAUGGAAGAAAACUUCUGCAAAGUGGGAGGUGAACAGCUUUUUGAAGUACUCGGCUCUUAUUUCAAGAAAGGGGAAUUCCUUGCAUUUUCAUACAAUACCCAACUAAUUAAACAAAGCUGCUGCAGAUUACAGCAGCGCAGCUCCUUCAGAUACCUCAACAGCUGUGCACGGAGUCCUUUAAAAUCCAAAGCAUGCUGUUUCUGUUAGUCAGAAUAUUUUCAUCUUUGCUAUACUCCAUUCUAAGCUCCACCCAUCCACUACCCAGUAAAUUUCCCUGCCCUUUUGGCAGGAAAUGGGAAAUGAUCACAGAAUCACACAAUCAGUCAUAGGAGUUGGAAGAGACCUCUGGAGAUCGAGUCCACCGCCCUGCUGCUAAAGCGGGUUUGCAACAUCAGGUUGCACAGGCAGGCAUCCAGACAGGUCUUGAAUAUCUCCAGAGAAGGAGACUCCACGACGACAUCUGUUAACUUUUACAAACAUGCUGGAAAAAAAAAUAAUGAUAAGAAAUAAGAAAGAUUAGCUCUUUGAUUUCCCAUCCUUAUGCAAGAACUGCUUAUUCUCUGCACUUCCAAUCUCAAUAUCUUGUUGGAUUUCUGCUGGGCCAACAGGUGGAGAUGGCACACAGAUCCCCAGUGAUGUGCUCUGUCCAGGCUAAGUCUGGGUCUGGAAGUUGCCAGAUUUAAGAAUGAGUUUGCUACAGACAAAGACUCUGUUCACCUGAAGGUCUCAGCAGGAACUGGAGGUUCCCUUCACACGUACAAGAUGCUACUGACAAGACGAGGCCUGCAUCCUGCUCAGGAGAACACCUCAGUGCCUUCCACUGGAGGACUGUGAGGACUACAAAAGCCUUCCAGACAUUCUAAGAAGAGAAAAUGGGAAGAAAGCAGUACCAAGAAAAGCAAACUAUCUGAAUAUCUGAGAGGAGAGAGGAGACUCCUGUGGAGAUUCCAGGCAUGGUCACGCUACCUUACUAUUAAGCUCAGGCAAUAUCCCGGAAGCAAUGAAAACAACUACACGAAGUUCACACUGAAGGAAGUAGGUGGUCGCAGAGCAUGGAUUACAUGCGGUAGUUUGCACAUGGAUGUUUCUAUAUUUCAAAGGAAGGACUGUAAUAUUACUCCCAACUCCAGCCUUUUGGGUUUUCGUCCAGAUGGAUUCAAUCCCAAGCCACUGAGGAAAUGAAGCUAACCAAACACAAGGAGAUAAAUUACUCGAUACAAGGAGUUAAUAAAGCUUUGUUACUAAAUCCAGAGCUAAGCAUACAAGACUAAAAACACAGAAGCUGUAUGUUUCUACAUAGUAUGCUAUGAUGAAGUUUAGUCACCCUCUUGAAGACAUAUGAGGCCAUUAGACACCUGGGUUGUAGCUGUAGUUCAGGAAAAGCUGAGCAUCAAAGGUGAGGAUCUAGAAAAGCUAGCUGUAAGGGUGGUUAAGUCAGCCAGCAGGACACCAUUUGUGUCAUAUGGCUCUCCAAAUCAAGGUGCUUAACAUGAGGCACUGGGGAGAAAGUUUCAGAGACCAAUAUUGCCAAGAAAUCUCUGUACCACUGGGCACCUUUUCCAAAAACACAGGAGGAAGUAAAGAUGUUUUUCCUUUACCCAGUAACCUACCAAUUAUAAAACUCAGCCAUGAGACUGAAACUCUAAAUUCAAGACCAGCAGCCUAGCUGAACACUCUCACUUGUCUACAGAAAAUUACAGGGAUAAGAAAGUGAACUGAUAGUGCUCUGAGCCAAAAGAAG